CCUCCCGUCUCCCAUUGCUGUCGCUCCUUGUAGUAGAAUCUGAUUACAAAAAAUUUCGAUCUUACGUUGUUGCAGUACCUCAUACUUCUAUUCAGCGACCAAGAUUUACGUGGUCGCUAUACCUCUUGGCAGGAUGAACCCCCUAAUUUUUUUAACUCUUCCAGCGACGAAACUAGUGGUCGCUGCAUGUAUAAUCCUCCAGUGACCAAUAUCUAGCCGCUAAUACUUCUAUCCAGUGACCAACGUUUAUGUGGUCGCUAUACCUCUUGGCGGGAUGAACCCUACCUAAUUUUUUCUCUCUUUCAGCAACCAAAGUGGUGGUCGCUGUAUAUAUUUCAGCGACCAGAUAUUGGUCGGUUUACAGCUUAGCGGGAUGAGCCCUCUAAUUUUUUUAACUCGUCUAGCGACUAAACUUGUGGUUGCAGCAUAUAUAAUCCUCCAGCGACCAAUAACUGGUCGCUGGUUGUAUAAUC
rnacentral:lncRNA from 1 species